AACGAACGCUGGCGGCAGGCUUAACACAUGCAAGUCGAGCGCCCCGCAAGGGGAGCGGCAGACGGGUGAGUAACGCGUGGGAAUCUACCGAGCCCUGCGGAAUAGCUCCGGGAAACUGGAAUUAAUACCGCAUACGCCCUACGGGGGAAAGAUUUAUCGGGGUUUGAUGAGCCCGCGUUGGAUUAGGUAGUUGGUGGGGUAAUGGCCUACCAAGGCGACGAUCCAUAGCUGGUCUGAGAGGAUGAUCAGCCACAUUGGGACUGAGACACGGCCCAAACUCCUACGGGAGGCAGCAGUGGGGAAUAUUGGACAAUGGGCGCAAGCCUGAUCCAGCCAUGCCGCGUGAGUGAUGAAGGCCUUAGGGUUGUAAAGCUCUUUCACCGACGAAGAUAACGACGGUAGUCGGAGAAGAAGCCCCGGCUAACUUCGUGCCAGCCGCCGCGGUAACAC
rnacentral:rRNA from 1 species